CUACGGAAGGUCCGGGCGUUAUCCGGAUUUAUUGGGUUUAAAGGGAGCGCAGGCGGAGAUGCAAGCGUGACGUCAAAUUUCGGGGCUCAACCCCGUCUCGCGUCGCGAACUGCGUCCCUUGGUUGCGGGAAGGGGAGGCGGAACUCGUGGUGUAGCGGGGAAAUGCAUAGAUAUCACGAAGAACUCCGAUCGCGAAGGCAGCCUUCCGGCCCGUCAACGACGCUCAUGCUCGAAGGUGCGGGUAUCAAACAGGAUUAGAUACCCUGGUAGUCCGCACAGUAAACGAUGGACACCCGCGGUUUGGCCUAUAUGGCUGAGCCGCCAAGCGAAAGCGUUAAGUGUCCCACCUGGGGAGUACGCCGGCAACGGUGAAACUCAAAUGAACUGACGGG
rnacentral:rRNA from 1 species